ACAACUCUUUCUGGUUACAGUGCUGCAAUUGGCAUGGCACUUUGGAAAGCCCAAAUAUGUCACUAUGGCAUUGUUGUGUUACCAUCCAGGACUUCCCUCAGGAAUAAUACAGUAAAUACGUUUUUCAAGGAGAUAGAAAUGUUCUUCCAUUAAGUAUUGUCUGCAACACUGACCAGCACUGGAUGCUUAUGAAGACGACAUGCAUUGAAAUAUCGAGCUUAAGGUCCAGACAAGGAUAAGUGUGAGAUAUUUUCUGGUCCAAAGGAAUGUCAUUCUCCAUUUAAUCUUUAUUAAAAUAAGUGCAUAACUAC